CCUUUGGAAACGAAGAAUAAUACCCUAUAAAACCAUAAAAGCACAUGCUAGAAUGGUCAAAGUGCUAGCGGUGUAAGAUGGACUUGCGUCUGAUUAGCUAGUUGGUGAGAUAAAAGCUCACCAAGGCAACGAUCAGUAGCCGGCUUGAGAGAGUGUACGGCCACAUUGGGACUGAGACACGGCCCAG
rnacentral:rRNA from 1 species